GCGACCCCAGGUCAGGCGGACACCCACCUAA
rnacentral:rRNA from 1 species